rnacentral:lncRNA from 1 species
CGCAGACUGCAAGAAUGCUACACAGUUAUAUCCUGUGGGAGCCCAGAGGGCUGUCAUUUAUAAAACCUGCCCAAGAAAGAGACAAGGACAGAGGCAAGGCUUACAGAAAAAGAAGAGUUGAAGCAGAUCAGUUCAUCUGGAGUGUUUGGUACAUGGUGUAAGGUACAGAGACUGUAGCAAAAGCAUAAAAUGAGAGUGAUUUCAAGCAAAUAAAUAUAGACCGGAAGGGAAGGGAAAUGAAUUAGCACACAACCUCUCAUAAAAUAAGGAAGGAAGAGAACAUGGUACCCAGAGAGAAAGUAGCAUGGAGACAGAAAGAAGGGGAUUGCCUCUCUAAUUAUGGAAAUGCAAGAGAAGAUGGCGUUGAGCUGGAAGAGUGCGAUGGAACUUAAGAUAUUUGGACAGACCCAGCCACAGGAGAUGAAGCUUAAUUUCCCAUGUGUACGUAUAUACUUUCCUUCUUAUGGGUCACUUCAGCAGAACUUCAUACCAUAUGUAGUAUGUAUAGAAGUACACAGUGACAAACCUUUCCAUGCUGGAAACAACUUGAUACACUGAAG